rnacentral:rRNA from 1 species
AAGUCGAGCGAACAGACGAGGAGCUUGCUCCUCUGACGUUAGCGGCGGACGGGUGAGUAACACGUGGGUAACCUACCUAUAAGACUGGGAUAACUCCGGGAAACCGGGGCUAAUACCGGAUAACACAUGAAACCGCAUGGUUUCAUGAUGAAAGACGGUUUUGCUGUCACUUAUAGAUGGACCCGCGGCGUAUUAGCUAGUUGGUAAGGUAACGGCUUACCAAGGCAACGAUACGUAGCCGACCUGAGAGGGUGAUCGGCCACACUGGAACUGAGACACGGUCCAGACUCCUACGGGAGGCAGCAGUAGGGAAUCUUCCGCAAUGGGCGAAAGCCUGACGGAGCAACGCCGCGUGAGUGAUGAAGGUCUUCGGAUCGUAAAACUCUGUUAUUAGGGAAGAACAAGGAUGUAAGUAACUAUGCAUCCCUUGACGGUACCUAAUCAGAAAGCCACGGCUAACUACGUGCCAGCAGCCGCGGUAAUACGUAGGUGGCAAGCGUUAUCCGGAAUUAUUGGGCGUAAAGCGCGCGUAGGCGGUUUUUUAAGUCUGAUGUGAAAGCCCACGGCUCAACCGUGGAGGGUCAUUGGAAACUGGAAAACUUGAGUGCAGAAGAGGAAAGUGGAAUUCCAUGUGUAGCGGUGAAAUGCGCAGAGAUAUGGAGGAACACCAGUGGCGAAGGCGACUUUCUGGUCUGCAACUGACGCUGAUGUGCGAAAGCGUGGGGAUCAAACAGGAUUAG